GGGUCGUUAGCUCAGUUGGUAGAGCAGUUGACUUUUAAUCAAUUGGUCGCAGGUUCGAGCCGAACGCAGUGAGGCACCGGAGCCGUUUACGGCGACGGCCCGAAGGGCGAGCGAAGCGAGUCAUCCUGCACGACCCACCA
rnacentral:tRNA from 1 species